rnacentral:rRNA from 1 species
AUGGCGGAGGACUCAGGCGCCAUCCUCCGCCACAUCUCCUCCCUCAAGGACAUGCUUGACAAGGUCAAUGAAGAAAUUGAACAGAAUAUACAAAGGACCAGGGAAAGAGAGUCAGAAAUAGUGAAGCAUUCUGAAACUGAAAAGGACUAUCUCGUGAAGGAAUCUGAGCUAAUGAAAGGAGUAUCGGUUGCUGAGUUUGAACUUGAUGGGCUUAUGCAAGUGGAAGCUGCUGGAACAGAUUCACUUAAAGCGAUGGAGGGCAAUUUGGAAUUCCGGAAAGCUACUCUGAAUGCAAUUACGAAACUAUUCUACGAUAAAAUGGAAAGGUUCAUCGCUGAAUCUAAAGACUUCCAAGUUAACAUGCUUGGAGGUUCAAUUGAGGAUUUACCUCUCCUACUAAAGGAAAGAGAUUCACUAGAGAAUGAGAGUGAGAACUUGAGGAUGAAGAUCAACGCCAUACAAAGUUCAUCAAAGGAAUACAUUGCUGAGAUUCUUGAGGAGGUAAAUGUGGAAAAUUCAGGUAAGUGA